rnacentral:rRNA from 1 species
AGAGUUUGAUCCUGGCUCAGGAUGAACGCUAGCGGUGCGCCUAACACAUGCAAGUCGAACGGAGUUUAAAAGUAGCUUGCUACUUUUAAACUUAGUGGCAAACGGGUGAGUAAUAAGUUAGUACCUACCUCAAAGUCAGGGAUAGCCCAGAGAAAUCUGGAUUAAUACCGGAUGUGUCCUACGGGAUAAAGCAGCAAUGCGCUUAGAGAGGGGCUUUCUUCCUAUCAGUUAGUUGGUGAGGUAAUAGCUCACCAAGACUAUGACGGGUAAUUGGUCUGAGAGGAUGACCAGUCACAAUGGAACUGAGACACGGUCCAUACUCCUACGGGAGGCAGCAGUGAGGAAUCUUUCACAAUGGGCGAAAGCCUGAUGGAGGGACACCGCGUGAAGGAUGAAGGAUUUAUUUUCGUAAACUUCUUUUCUCUGGGAAGAUAAUGACGGUACCAGAGGAAUAAGGGACGGCUAACUACGUGCCAGCAGCCGCGGUAA